GGCCAGGUGGCGCAGUGGCAGCGCAUGCAAGAUUAGUGACAUCUCCCCAAUUUUUCUUCGCGAGGUCUUCGUUCGAUUCGGAGUCUGGCCG